rnacentral:lncRNA from 1 species
UAUAGCCAUCUAUCGUUGAACUAGAAAUCCUUCUCUGACAAUUUAAUAGGAACGGAACUGACAGCAGUUCUAAAGAAAGUCACGCACAUCUAGUGAAGGGCUAAUAUCAAAUUUACAGAAUUACUUGUUACAUGUGCUGGUGGGAGGUACCCCCAGAAAUUAGUCGAGGUGCACGCAAGCUGGCCCCAACACCGCGGUUAUAUAGAAAAAGUACUGUACAAUAGGCAAAGAUGAAUAUAAUUUUGGAACUUGUUCUUUGGAUUAUUACUUGUUAUGUACAUUGUCACCUAUAGAAUGAUG